rnacentral:rRNA from 1 species
GGACGGGUGAGUAACGCGUGGGUAACCUGCCUUGUACUGGGGGACAACAGUUAGAAAUGACUGCUAAUACCGCAUAAGCGCACAGUAUCGCAUGAUACAGUGUGAAAAACUCCGGUGGUACAAGAUGGACCCGCGUCUGAUUAGCUAGUUGGUAAGGUAACGGCUUACCAAGGCGACGAUCAGUAGCCGACCUGAGAGGGUGACCGGCCACAUUGGGACUGAGACACGGCCCAA